UGAACAUCUAGAAGUUCACCGUUCACUUAUUGCUGAAGCCUGGCUUAGCGUUAGAGAAAGCCCAAGUUGUUGGAUUCAUGCAUAACCUCUGUCUCUACCAUCAUACUUACUUCACUUAAUGGGUUUAUUGUGGAAGCCUCAAGUGGUCAAGGACAAGGCUGGCUGAAAUCUACUGAAAGAAUCAUCCUGUCCACCUAAUCUUUGCCUCCUCAGCUGAGUACUCUUUUGUUGACAUUCCAUGAUACAAAAAUCUACACACUUUCCUUUAAAAAGUUAUAGAAAAAUUCAUAUUUAUCCUUAACUCAGGCCACAUCUUUCUCCAUCACCGUGAAUGACCCAAGUACACUAUCUGAAGCUGUGUCUGUCAGGAAGAUUUUUUUCCCAAUCACUAAUCCUAGCCACCUCUGAGAGAGGCUAAGUGUAAAAACCAGCCAUUUUUGACUCACACCAAGAUAUCAAACUGGUCCACCCAAGAACAAGGCCCAAAUUUUCCUUCUCUGCCAUCUGCUAUUUAAUACCUCAGCAGUACCCUUACUUCUUUACUUCUCCUUGUCUCCAUACCCUUUCUCAUAAAAUUCCAUUACCUUUGCUUUCUGGGUGGAACAUUCUGCCUCACUUGAGACUUUGAACUUAGACAUGUGAUUUCUUUGGGUCAAUAGAAUGUUAAUAAAUCUGAUCCAAGCAAAAACUUGAAAAAUACUUGAGUGAUUGGUCUGCCUUCUCUCAUGCUUCUGCCACUGAUAUGGAAACAUGACUGGGAUAAUCUGAUGGAGAAAGAGAUGUGUGGAGCAGAACUAAGUUGUUCUAGUGACUUAGCAGCUAAUCCCAGGAUGUGAGAAAGCCCAGCCAAGAUCAGAAAAUCCCCCUAGCCAAUUCCCAGCUGGCCCUUGACUCCUCAAUAAUGAAUGCUCAUGGUGGAGUAUCAAAGAUUUUUUUGGUUAUUACAAAAUAUUGCAGCAAUAAAUACUGAUACAACCGACCAUAGGGGAUUCUCCAUGGAUCACAGGAGUAGGUUAAGGAGCUACAUCACUGCAUGAGAAGUAAAUGAUACGGGAACCUAGGCUACUGUCUAUGUAACUUACAUGUGCCCUCUGGACUUGCUCAGGCUUGAUCCCAGAUAUAUCAUUUGCAUCAAAUAAUGGAUUGUUACUGUUACUAUCUGACCUUAUGAUUUGAUGAACCUGACACCUAGCUCAUGAUGCGUAGCUCUGGUUCAUAACUUGAUGUCAUAUGGGAGCAGAUUCUGAGAGUCUGUUAGGCAUAGAGGCAUGCCAAGGGUUGCUUUUCAAACAAUGAGAGGGCAGGCCUUUAUUCCAGAACCUAAUGGCUGUACUGUUAGUCUUCCGUUGGAGCUUGUCAGAGAUGCCAUAAAAUGUCCUACCACAUAUAUUUGUAGCAUUGAUACUCUGUCAUAUAGCCUGAGCAGGAGAGCCACUUGCAUCACAGCCUGAGCCUGCAGCAGAGUACUCUCUCUUGCUCUGAGUCCCACUUCAAAUGAGAAGCUUCCACUCUUCCCCAAAUAUUGAAUGAGAGCAGCAUUUAACUUCAAGAGUCAAAGUUACCGUCUUAAUGGUAGAGAGUUCAAGUUCAAUAACUUAUCCUUAACUUGGAGGGCAUGUCCCAGCAUCCUCCAGACCAUUGGACCCCUAAAAUCUGCAGGGUCUGAAUCUUCCAUUCUCUGGCUUGUGUGUGUCUUAUAGAGCACCAGGAGUCUUUUCCACUUCCUUUUCACCAGAUCUGAUUAGCCUGAUUUAUCAGCAUAGGGGAACAGAAUGAGGUUCUGUGGAAUAACAAGAUGAACAAGAUACCUGCAGACGUCCCUGUGGAAGAGAGAAGAGUAGAGUGACAAUACAUUAACAUGCAUUGUGCUAUCCUUCCUAUGUUAAUAUAGCACUUUUGAUGUUCUUAAUGAUUGGAAAAAAAAAAAAAGUUUGUCAAAUCAGCAACCACAUGCCAUGCCAGAGCUUGCAUUGAUACAUUCCAGAAAAAAGUAUAUUAACUGUCAUGGCAGCCACGAUCAGUUCUGACACUUUGUUGAGUUUAUGGUAGUCAGCUGUCUCCUACCAUGAUGCUUGUGGUUUGAGCAGGGGCCUUACAGGUGAAUGCAGAAGGUACCACCUCUGCAUUCUUUACGUCUUUGAAGGUGGUGCCCAUCUCUGCAGUUCUACUCAGAGUGCAAUAUUGGUUUUGGAUGACUAUCUUACCUGGGGGAAAGGAGUACAAUUUUAGGGAUUUCUGCCUGAUCCUCCCCACCAUAUGAAUUUUAUUCCACAUGGCAGGGAACCAAUGUAAAACUGUUAAGAAAAUUUCAGGGACCCAUCUGACUGCUACAGGGACCCAUCUGGGACUUCAUUUAUUACCUGGCAUCUGUAAGUUCCCACUCUUAAGUGUGGGACAUGACAUUUUAGAUCACUUGGUAUCAAGUCAAUUCAGCCCUCUUAUCCAACUACCUUUGAAAUGAUUGCAUUGUAAAGUUACUUUGAUAAGUUGUUUAUGGUACUCUAGAGAAAGUGGGCAAAUAUUUAUUCUAUAUAUUUGUAGUGGCUUAGAUAGCAUCCUUCAAAGAGCACUGGCCACCUUUUCAACCGAUGGACAUAAAAUAAUAGUUAUAGGAUAACACUUUUCCAUUAUAUAACAGUUGACAUCAAUUUUCUGCUAACCAGCUCUUGAUUUUUUGGGUUUUAUAAGUAAAACUACACUCUAGUCUACUGCCUUCCACCUUGAACAUGAGGUACACUGUGCUCCCUGCACAUCAAGGAACCUCAGUUGCCCCUUCAGCUUUGCUGCUACUUUGCCAGAGAUAUUUGGGAUACUACCUGCCCCUGCCAUUACUCUAUCAUCUCAAUUAAUGCAAGAGAGCCCAAUCUUGUGACAUCAUUUCCAACUGUGAAUUCCGGUCUAGAUAAUUCUAAUUUUCUCAAUGAUAUUGUUGCCAUUCUCAUUAAUACAGUCUUUAAUGCCUUAGUAAACAGAGUAGUCUCUGGGCUCUUCCUGGGAAAACAGUAGGCUAGUUUUCUCAACACAUGACAUAAAUCCAUUCUAACAUUCCUGCCUCUUCUUUAGUACUUUGACAAGGCAAUUCCAGCAUCUCCAUCUCAUUUGGUGUAGGCCACCAAAUUUCAAGAAGCCAUUCCAAUACCCUGUUAGCACCUACUGUCCUUGCCAGGUUGUUAAAUCUUAAAUCAUAAGAGAGUGUUCCCAUAUCAAUAAACUCUCCUCUAUCCAGUCUUGUAUUCUGCCACUCUGGUCCAGCACAUUCAAGAUCUGUUCCCACACAUGUUCUCCAAACUCCUGCCAGUAAUUAUUAGCCAGUUCCUACAGUUCUUUCAGUAAAAGCUAUCUGUUCCCAAAUCAAGAACUAUGUUUUCUCUCUCAGCUCAGACUUGGCAUUAGUUAUUCUUCUCAUGGCAAUGGGAGGAAAAUAGUCCACUUUUGAGGUCAUCAGAGUCAUCUUAUAAGACAUCUACUUCAGGUGGCCACUGCAUAGUCUCCAGCUAUGGGGAGGCUGCUCUUCUCUAGAGAGAGAGAAUGAGCUGCUUUGUCUGGUGUGGAAGAUUCAGAGAAAACCAGGAAUUCAAGCUGUUCAAGUACAUCUCCCAAAAUCAUCUUAACCCAAGCGUCAGUCCCUGUCCUUUGCUAUCAGAGCUAUGAUACUUGCAAAGGAGACUUGUGCAAGCUGCAAAUUUCAUCUCCUUUGAAGCUCUGCCACCCUUAAAAUUACACUCUGAGCCUGAUUAUCACUAUGGAAGUCCUAUGGCUAAGGAGAUAUUGGUCACUAAACACUGCCAAGAUGACCUUCUGGCUUUCAGUGUGCCCUAAUUUGACAGUUGGCUGAUCAGAAUUUGUUACUUUCUUUUUGCAAGGCUUCCAAGACAGUUAACAAAUGCUAACAAAUUCCAAAGUCCUUUACCCCCAAAACAUUCUAGGGACAGAGAUACUGGAUAACCCAUUUCUUCUUGUUUCAUUCCAUCCCAGGUGAGAUUCCCAGGAACUGAGAUGCAGGCCAGGGAUUACCACCACCCUGCUUAUCCUAUCAGUGAGGGAAAAAAGAAAAGAAUUGGAAGCCUUGCAGUUGAAUCCAGGAGUGUGUCCAUGCCUUGCAACAGGAUGCCUUAAACAGAUGGAUAAAAUAUAGAACAUAAUAAAUUUUAUGACUAAUAUAUAAUUCUGCAGAAAUUGCCCUCUUUCUAACAGAGUCCAGCAGCCAUCCCAAGAAAGGCAAUGGAAGAACAUGGAUGUGUUCUGAUGGGCAGUCCUGGUUGUGCUCCUAGCUGACAUUCAGCACCAGUUGCCAGCCGUGUGAGCAAGCUAUCUUGGAUGUUCUAGGAAAAUGGAGUCUUCAGAUAAAUGCACAUCAUCAUGGGCAUACAACAUCACUUGGAGAAGAACUGACCAGCUGAGCCCAGACAACUCAAAAUCAUGAGAUAAAAUAGUUAUUACUUCAAGCCACCAAGUUUUGGGGUCUUUAUUAUAUAGCAAUAGAUCUUUGAAAUAGUGUUUAACCCUAUUUAGGUUUGGUUUCUUUCCCUGUAAAAUGGGGUCAAUAAUGGUACCUAUGUCAUAGGAUUGUUUUGAGGAUUAAACAAGAUGAAAUAUAUGGUACAGUACUUAAUGAUGUUAUGCUAUA